CUGACACUUCUCUGUGAGCAUUUGAACAAACCAUCUAUUUUUAGGAUACAAAACAUGACUUUCAAGGGGAAUAAAAAGAACACAAAAUACAGAAA